GGGCGGGUGGCGGAACGGUAGACGCAGAGGACUUAAACUCCUCCGGGCUGAGCGCCCAUGGGGGUUCAACUCCCUCCCCGCCCACCA
rnacentral:tRNA from 1 species